AGCUCAGCGGGAGAGCGCUUCCCUGACACGGAAGAGGUCACUGGUUCAAUCCCAGUA
rnacentral:tRNA from 2 species